AGUGAACGCUGGCGGUAUGCUUAACACAUGCAAGUCGAACGGCAGCACAGUAAGAGCGUGCUCUGACGGGGUGCGAGUGGCGGACGUGUGAGGAAUACAACGGACUCUACUUUUUAGUGGGGGAUAACGUAGGGAAACUUACUCUAAGACCGCAUACGACCUACGAGUGAAAGCUGCGGAGCGUCGGACCUUUCGGGAUUGAAUGCGCGGUUGUCGGAUUUGUUAGUUGGCGGGGGAAAGGCCCACCAAGGCGACGAUCCGUAGCUGGUCUGAGAGGAUGGUCGGCCGCACUGGAACGGAGACACGGACCAGGCUCCUACGGGAGGCAGCAGUGGGCAAUAUUGGGCAAUGGGCGCGAGCAUGAUCCAGCCAUACCACGUGGGUGAAGAAGGCCUUCGGGUUGUAAAGCCCUUUUGUUGGGAAUGAAAAGCAGCAGGUUAAGACCAAGCUGUAAUGACGGUACCCAAAGAAUAAGCACCGGCUAACUUCGUG
rnacentral:rRNA from 1 species